ACGAAGUCAAGAGAUCAAGAGUAUCCUGGCCGACAUAGUGAAUCCUAUCUCUACUAAAAAAUAAAAAAAUUGGCUGCAACUUCUGGGAGGGGCUUGUACACCUGGUGCGGGAGCUGCGGGGCUCAGAGAUUGUGUUUGAAGUAGCGGUUCUACCAACUUGUCCAGUGGUUCCAGAGCCGGUUUUGACCGCCACAUUACCAUUUUUUCACCUGAGGGUCGGCUCUACCAAGUAGAAUAUGCUUUUAAGGCUUAACCAGGAUAGCCUUACAUCAGUAGCUGUCAGAGGAAAAGACUGUGCAGUAAUUGUCACACAGAAGAAAGUACCUGACAAAUUAUUGGAUUCCAGCACAAUGACUCACUUAUUCAAGAUAACUGAAAACAUUGGUUGUGUGAUGACCAGAAUGACAGCUGACAGCAGAUCCCAGGUGCAGAGGGCACGCUACAAGGCAGCUAACUGGAAAUACAAGUAUGGCUGUGAGAUUCCUGUGAACAUGCUGUGUAAAAGAAUUGCUGAGAUUUCUCAGGUCUAUACACAGAAUGCCGAAAUGAGGCCUCUUGGUUGUUGUAUGAUUUUAAUUGGUGUAGAUGAAGAGCAAGGCCCUCAGGUAUAUAUGAUCCUGCAGGUUACUACUGUGGGUUUAAAGCCACUGCAGCAGGAGUUAAACAGACUGACUCAACCAGCUUCCUUGAAAAAAAAGUGAAGAAGAAAUUUGAUUGGACAUUUGAACAGACAGUGGAAACUGCAAUUACAUGCUUGUCUACUGUUCUAUCAAUUGAUUUCAAACCUUCAGACAUAGAAGUUGGAGUUGUGACAGUUGAAAAAUCCUAAAUUCACGAUUCUUACAGAAGCAGAGUUUGAUGCUCACCUUGUUGCUCUAGCAGAGAGAAACUAAAUAUUGUCGUUAGUUUACCAGAUCCAUGAUGUCACUUAACUGUGUGUUUAGUAACAACAAACCAACAUUACGGAGGUCCCUGGAUUGAAAAAGGAGCCUCUCCCACUCCUUCUACUGCCGAAGUGGUUAGGACUCUAUAUAAAUAAAAACAGUGCUUUUGG